rnacentral:rRNA from 1 species
AACAGGAUUGCCCUAGUAACGGCGAGUGAAGCGGCAACAGCUCAAAUUUGAAAUCUGGCCUCGGCCCGAGUUGUAAUUUGUAGAGGAUGCUUUUGGUGCGGUGCCUUCUGAGUUCCCUGGAACGGGACGCCUUAGAGGGUGAGAGCCCCGUAAAGUUGGACACCAAGCCUAUGUAAAGCUCCUUCGACGAGUCGAGUAGUUUGGGAAUGCUGCUCAAAAUGGGAGGUAAAUUUCUUCUAAAGCUAAAUACCGGCCAGAGACCGAUAGCGCACAAGUAGAGUGAUCGAAAGAUGAAAAGCACUUUGAAAAGAGGGUUAAAAAGUACGUGAAAUUGUUGAAAGGGAAGCGCUUAUGACCAGACUUGUGCCCUGCGGAUCAUCCAGCCUUCUGGCUGGUGCACUUCGCUUGGUUCAGGCCAGCAUCGGUUUUCUGAGGGGGAUAAAAGCUUCAGGGACGUGGCUCCUCCGGGAGCGUUAUAACCUGUUGCAAAAUACCCCUCGGGAGACCGAGGUUCGCGCAUCUGCAAGGAUGCUGGCGUAAUGGUCAUCAGCGACCCGUCUUGAAACCGCCA